CUCCUUUGACGUUAGCGGCGGACGGGUGAGUAACACGUGGGUAACCUACCUAUAAGACUGGGAUAACUUCGGGAAACCGGAGCUAAUACCGGAUAAUAUUUCGAACCGCAUGGUUCGAUAGUGAAAGGUGGUUUUGCUAUCACUUAUAGAUGGACCCGCGCCGUAUUAGCUAGUUGGUAAGGUAACGGCUACCAAGGCGACGAUACGUAGCCGACCUGAGAGGGUGAUCGGCCACACUGGAACUGAGACACGGUCCAGACUCCUACGGGAGGCAGCAGAC
rnacentral:rRNA from 1 species